CCUACGGGAGGCAGCAGUGGGGGAUAUUGCACAAUGGGGGAGACCCUGAUGCAGCGACGCCGCGUGUGGGAUGACGGUCCUCUGGAUUGUAAACCACUGUCCCCAGGGACUAAGAUGACGGUACCUUGGGAGGAAGCUCCGGCUAACUACGUGCAAGCAGCCGCGGUAAUACGUAGGGAGCAAGCGUUGUCCGGGAUUACUGGGUGUAAAGGGAGCGUAGGCGGUAUGGCAAGUUGUGGGUUAAAUCUACCGGCUAAACUGGUAGUCGCACUCAAAACUGCCAUUCUUGAGUGAAGUAGAGGCAGGCGGAAUUCCUAGUGUAGCGGUGAAAUGCGUAGAUAUUAGGAGGAACACCAGUGGCGAAGGCGGCCUGCUGGGCUUUUACUGACGCUGAGGCUCGAAAGUGUGGGGAGCAAACAGGAUUAGAUACCCGGGUAGUC
rnacentral:rRNA from 1 species